GGACCCGCACAAGCGGUGGAGCAUGUGGUUUAAUUCGAAGCAACGCGAAGAACCUUACCAAGUCUUGACAUCCCCCUGAAUGGAGCAGAGAUGCUGCAGGCCUUCGGGACAGGGGAGACAGGUGGUGCAUGGUUGUCGUCAGCUCGUGUCGUGAGAUGUUGGGUUAAGUCCCGCAACGAGCGCAACCCUUAUGUUUAGUAGCCAGCGGUACGGCCGGGCACUCUAGGCAGACUGCCAGGAAUAACCUGGAGGAAGGCGGGGAUGACGUCAAAUCAUCAUGCCCCUUAUGACUUGGGCUACACACGUGCUACAAUGGCGGCGACAGAGGGAAGCAAACCUGCGAGGGGGAGCAAAUCCAAAAACGCCGUCCCAGUUCGGACUGUAGUCUGCAACCCGACUACACGAAGCUGGAAUCGCUAGUAAUCGCAGAUCAGAAUGCUGCGGUGAAUACGUUCCCGGGUCUU
rnacentral:rRNA from 1 species